ensembl:rRNA 5S_rRNA 5S ribosomal RNA
GUCUACGGCCAUACCACCCUGAACGCGCCCGAUCUCGUCUGAUCUCGGAAGCUAAGCAGGGUCGGGCCUGGUUAGUACUUGGAUGGGAGAAAACUAAGAUCAUGGCAUCUGGCCC